rnacentral:lncRNA from 1 species
CAGGUCAUUUGUUCAAGACCUCCUAAUACUUCUAUUUCCUUCUAUGCAAUUUUGAGAAGGGUGGAAAAUUCAACUUCAGAUUUUUCUGGACAACCAGAAGGAAACAGAUAAAUACAGAGGAAAUGACUUACAUCAACAAAAUGCACAGACAGAACAGAAAGAAAUUUUCAGGAGUCUGAGAGGGUGAGAGGUACAGACCAUACUCUCAAAAGCAAGUCUCGGUUUUCUUCCGUGGAAGAAGCAACCAUAUUGGGCCUCAGGUUCCUCAUCUAUAAAAUGGGGAGACCAUUGUCUGCCUUGCCUCAUUGAUAUCACAGAGAGUAAAGCCCAUGUGAGAUGCUAAAGACCUUGACAUGUCGAAAGGACCCUUCACCUUUAGAUCGUCUUCUGGAAGCACUCGAUGGUAAGUGGGGCCAGAGCCAUCUGUAACAUGCUACCAGACUGUGCUUAUCUUUUCGGCUGCCAACACUCUUCCUGCUUUCAGAUGACAACCUACUUCCUUCCCGCCAAAGGAACUGUAACUUGAGCACUCCCAGGACUUGGUGAUCCCAAGCAUUCCAAGUCCACUUCCCACCAGCCUCCAUCGGAGCUCCUAGGUAGCAGGUGCAGACAGACUCCUCUCGGAGGCGGGGACCAGCCACAUGCCCAAAUGGAAGUGAAGAAAGAUCACUUCUGACUGGCUUAGGACCAGGGAAGCCUGAAGCACCAUCUCAACCUGUGGGUUUCAACUGAGGCUCCAGGGGAUCCCGGAGUUCCAAUGAGGAUAGGAAAUGUACCAGACGAGAAGCUGCAGAACAGUGCCAGCAAAUUCAGAUUCCCUGGACAAUGCUGAGUGCCCGGACUCAAGUUUCCUAAUGCCUGCAAAGCUCCUAAGUCACAGGCACUGUGAGCUAGUGGCAGCAGAGGGACCCGAGGGAGGACUACACGGCAAGAGGAAGAGUCUGCUUCUGUCAGUUAUACAGGAUGCCGCAGCGCAGGGACGGCUGU